AGAGAGAGAGAGCGUGUAUCGAUCUGGAGAGAGGAUAGAGAGAAAAAAAUAGAAGAGAGAGAAAGAGGGGAGAGAGAAGAGAAAGGCACUACAGAGAGAGCGAGAAUUGCCUAUAUUUAAGGAGGGGCAUUUUAGUCUUUUCGUGCAAAAAGUGGGUAAAAUUUUAUAUUUCUAUUCUAGUGGGUAAAGUUUAUUUUUGUUAUAUGAAAGUGAGUAUUUUUAUAUAUUGACACUUUUUAUAAAUAGGUUAUGAAAGUGGAUAGUUUAAAUUUCAACCCUAUAUAUUAAUU
rnacentral:lncRNA from 1 species